CCCCACCUAGGCCUGAGACUGUUUUUUGAUUACUUUCCAAUCAUCAUGCCCUUUAAUUCCUGGAACCUCUUGAUGGGGCAGU